rnacentral:rRNA from 1 species
UACAGAGGGGGCAAGCGUUGUUCGGAAUUACUGGGCGUAAAGGGCGCGUAGGCGGCCUGUUAAGUCGAACGUGAAAUCCCCGGGCUCAACCCGGGAACUGCGUCCGAUACUGGCAGGCUUGAAUCCGGGAGAGGGAUGCGGAAUUCCGGGUGUAGCGGUGGAAUGCGUAGAGAUCCGGAAGAACACCGGUGGCGAAGGCGGCCUGCUGGGCAGUGGCUGACGCUGAUGCGCGACAGCGUGGGGAGCAAACAGGG